AACAGCCGACACGCUGCGCAAGACUCGUCAAACAGUAUACUCUGGCCCCACACGAGCGAGAUAAAGAUGUGCAUAGAAUGGUCAUAUGGCCAUAGUUCAUAUCCUCAGCAUCAUUACGUAACUGUUGUUCAAUCACUUGUCGCUCCCCCUGCGGGGGGUGGGUGCUGACAGGGCGCUGUCCUCCCGGACGGCCGCGCGGUCUCUUCGUUUCUGCUGACGCGGAGGAAACGCGCCUGUGUGGUGCGGCGCGGUGGCGCAAUAUUGCGUCAUGCGGUUCCAACAGCAUGCUUUUGUUAACAGCUCAAAACGAUGAAUGAUAUUAUGAUAUUAUUCUACAGCAUCUAUCUUCUCUUUCCAUCUACUUCUCUGUCUGAUGAACAAAUCUUAGUGCGGACGAGGUUAUUGAUGCGACACACCCGGAUCUCCCUGGAGGAAGGACACCACUUCUUCCAACCACUGGCCUCUGGGAGGAGAUAUAGGUCCAUCAGAGCCGCAGUCAGGCUGCUAAAUGGACAACCUGCCUCCCACUCCCUAUGCCCUCUUUGACAUAAUGCCUCUGUCCAUAACUGUGACCAGGACUUUGUAUUGUUGCAGAAACACGCCAACAAGCACUACCUCCUAUUAAAGGCCCACUAUGCAACUUUUUUAGCCAAAAUUACAUUAAUUAUGCAGGUUGAGAGUUAUUCUGAUGGUUCUGCAACCAGUUCUGGGUCGUUUGGUGGGUGUGUCAUUGCCCCUUGUCGCUUCUCCAAGGAAAAAGCGCAUAUGCAACUUGCUCUGUUCGGACCGACACAAUCCAGAUGUGACGCAGCGGAAGUAUCCAAUCGCGCCUCGAAAAUGUAGUCAGAUUGUAGUUUCGAAAAUGCUUUACGGCACAGACACACCCCCAAACAUGGCACCGGCUAGAUAUAAACAGCCAGUUGCGAGGCAAUUGUUGCAUUCAUCAUGGAUCAAUCGACUGAUAAGGGACCCAAGAGGCGACCGUCGGU